rnacentral:rRNA from 1 species
GUGCCAGCCGCCGCGGUAAUACGGAGGGUGCGAGCGUUAAUCGGAAUUACUGGGCGUAAAGGGCGCGUAGGCGGUCGCGCAAGUCGGGUGUGAAAGCCCCGGGCUCAACCUGGGAAUUGCAUUCGAUACUGCGUAACUAGAGUCUGGUAGAGGGAAGCGGAAUUCCGCAUGUAGCGGUGAAAUGCGUAGAUAUGCGGAGGAACACCAGUGGCGAAGGCGGCUUCCUGGACCAAGACUGACGCUGAGGCGCGAAAGCGUGGGGAGCAAACAGGAUUAGAUACCCUGGUAGUCCACGCCCUAAACGAUGAGGACUAGACGUUGGGGGGAUAAAACCCCUUAGUGUCGCAGCUAACGCGUGAAGUCCUCCGCCUGGGGAGUACGGCCGCAAGGUUGAAACUCAAAUGAAUUGGCGG